GGAUGAACGCUAGCGGCAGGCUUAACACAUGCAAGUCGAGGUGUAACAGAGGAGCUUGCUCUUGCUGACGACCGGCGCACGGGUGCGUAACGCGUAUACAAUCUGCCUUACACUAAGGGAUAGCCCAGAGAAAUUUGGAUUAACACCUUAUAGUUUAUUUUUAUGGCAUCAUUUAAAUAAUAAAGUUUACGGUGUAAGAUGAGUAUGCGUCCCAUUAGUUUGUUGGUAAGGUAACSGCUUACCAAGACUACGAUGGGUAGGGGCCCUGAGAGGGGGAUCCCCCACACUGGUACUGAGACACGGACCAGACUCCUACGGGAGGCAGCAGUGAGGAAUAUUGGACAAUGGAGGAGACUCUGAUCCAGCCAUGCCGCGUGCAGGAAGACGGUCCUAUGGAUUGUAAACUGCUUUUAUACAGGAAGAAUAAGGACUACRUGUAGUCUGGUGACGGUACUGUAAGAAUAAGGACCGGCUAACUCCGUGCCAGCAGCCGCGGUAAUACGGAGGGUCCGAGCGUUAUCCGRAAUUAUUGGGUUUAAAGGGUCCGUAGGCGGGCUGUUAAGUCAGGGGUGAAAGUUUGCAGCUCAACUGUAGAAUUGCCUUUGAUACUGAUGGUCUUGAAUUAUUGUGAAGUGGUUAGAAUAUGUAGUGUAGCGGUGAAAUGCAUAGAUAUUACAUAGAAUACCGAUUGCGAAGGCAGAUCACUAACAAUUGAUUG
rnacentral:rRNA from 1 species